rnacentral:rRNA from 1 species
UACGGGGGGAGCAAGCGUUGUUCGGAUUUACUGGGCGUAAAGGGCGCGUAGGCGGCGCAACAAGCCACUUGUGAAAUCUCCGGGCUUAACUCGGAGCGGCCAAGUGAUACUGUCGUGCUAGAGUGCGGAAGGGGCAACUGGAAUUCUCGGUGUAGCGGUGAAAUGCGUAGAGAUCAUGAGGAAGACCAGUGGCGAAGGCGGGUCUCUGGACAGUUCCUGACACUGAGACACGAAGGCCAGGGGAGCAAACGGG